UACGGAGGGUGCAAACGUUGCUCGGAAUCAUUGGGCGUAAAGCGCACGUAGGCGGUCCAGCAAGUCGGGUGUGAAAGCCCUCGGCUUAACCGAGGAAGUGCAUUCGAAACUACUGGACUUGAAUACUGGAGAGGAUCGCGGAAUUCCCGGUGUAGCGGUGAAAUGCGCAGAUAUCGGGAAGAACACCCAUGGCGAAGGCAGCUCUCUGGGACGGUACUGACGCUGAGACGCGAAAGCGUGGGGAGCGAACAGG
rnacentral:rRNA from 1 species